GACGAACGCUGGCGGCGUGCCUAAUACAUGCAAGUCGAGCGAAGCGAGGCCGGGUGAGUAACACGAGGAUAACAUCCUAUAAGAAUAGGAUAACUUCAGGGAACCGGAGCUCAACAGGAUACUUAUAGGUGGAUGCACGCUGCAUGAGCUAGUUGGUAAGGUAACGGCGUACCAAGGCAACGAUGCGUAGACGACCUGAGAGGGUGAUCGGCCAAACUGGAACUGAGACACGGUCCAGACUCCUACGUGAGGCAGCAGUAGGGAAUCUUCCGCAAUGGGCGAAAGCCUGACGGAGCAACGCCGCGUGAGUUAUGAAGGUCUUCGGAUCGUAAAACUCUGUUAUUAGGGAAGCGGUACCUACUCAGAAAGCAACGGCUAACUACGUGCCAGCAGCCGCGGUAAUUC
rnacentral:rRNA from 1 species